rnacentral:lncRNA from 1 species
CACUUUUCAUACAAUUUAUUUGUUACUUUGCAUUCCUUUUUUCUUAGUGCGGUGUCCAAAAUUGUAAGAAUCCUUUAUCCCACAAAAAAUUGAUCCUGUCUUUUACAGAAUUGCCCAGCAGAUGUCUUUUUCAUUUCCUUUGCUUGUGGUUUGCCCAUCUGUCAGCUGUGAAUGACCCAAACAACGUGACACGCUAUUUCUAACUCAACAGUCCUGGAACUUUCUUGACCUUUGACAAAGCCAUCAGAUCACCAUCACCAUCAUUAUUGUUUAUAGAAACAUGAAAAUUCAACCAUAAAAAGUCAUCUUGGGCUGAGCAUGGUGGCUCUAACAUGUAAUCCCAGCACUUUGGGAGCCUAAGAUCUUUACCAUGCUGGAUUGGAAGAGAAAAGACCAUCACUAAAGCAAAUGGAUCAAAUGGAGUUAUAAAUCAACUCUGUACUCUACAGGAUUGACUCAACUGCAGACAUCUCCAAUACACUCCCUCAUGGCUUUAUUUUUUCUGCUUAUGUGGAAAAAUAACAGUAAAUACAGUUAACUAUCCCAAGACAGAAGAGUAUUAUUAAAAAAGAAUACAAC